rnacentral:lncRNA from 1 species
AUGUACCAGCUCCUGACCCACCAUCUCUCUAAUAAAGUGUUGACUUCCUUUGUUCGACUCCUAGAUCUUCAAGCACCCUGCAUAUCCAGAUGGCUUGACAUGUGGCUCCAGUGUCGGUGAGAUGUACUCGCUUCAACACCUCCAUUACUGAGCAUAAAUACAUUUGAUGAGACGAUCUUACUCCCUCGCGCCACAUGGGGGAGGGAGAGGUGUCUUUUGCGCCGCAUAGAAGGAAGUCAAGUGGGGCUGCUUCUUGAUGUGGUCUCGCGCCAUGCGGAGUAAGCUCAAGACUCCCCAGCGACGCGCAAGGGAGAGCCGAAUCGGGAAAAAUCUACCGUUGACCUAAUAAAGGUUUGUCGACUAAGAGAUUGAGAUUAGACUUCUUUUUAUGAAUCCAGAGAAGAAGAGAGGCGAUUUUCAAUGUUCUUUGCAUCUUCUUUCAUCAAGUUCUUUAUGUCAAAUCAUUCUAAAUCAAGAUCUGAAGCUGUGAUGACAAACAUGUGAGGCUAAACUCCUUGUGACUUCCACCGGAUGAACGAUUGUUAGGUUUUUGGAUGAAUACUUUGUAUUUCUGAUUGUUAUAAUUGAUAUAUCUU